rnacentral:tRNA from 1 species
GGGCCUGUAGAUCAGCGGAAGAUCGCUUGAUUCGCAAGACACCAUUCAAUUCGCAGUGUCCUUGACUUCAAGAGGCCACGGGUUCAAUUCCCGUCAGGUCCACCA